AGAUUCCUGGCUCCCAGCCCCGCCCAGCCCCAUUCCCUGCAGCCCCCCGGGGCAGUGACUGCCCUGGGGAGAAGGGGAGGGGCAGGGAGAGGAAAAGCCAGUUCCUGCCUCUGCCCGGUCCCGCACUGCUGGGGGACACGCUGCCCUGGGGACAGGGUCACGAGGAUCCCCCAAAGAGGCACCUUUGAUUCUGCUCUUUGGGUGCACAAUUUUAUCCUUUUCAGUUGUUUAUAAAGGGCUGAACGUCACUGGAUGGAUCUUGGCUCUGAGCCCGUCUGGCAGCAGUGCCUACGUUCAUCUUCAGGGUAGAAAGCCUCUGUCCAGAGCAAAUUUGUUUUGGAAACAGAUUAAAAAGCACCACUUAGCCUCAUUUUGAGCAAGGGGGAAACAACCCUUUUACCAUUAUUUUUAAAAAGUGUUAUCAACUUUUGAACUAAUUCGGUAGCAGAAGGAUUUAGGCUGGUAACUUUACAUUUGACGCAGAGAGAAUUCCUAGGUCAGACAGUCUCGUCUCUCAGCUCUGGUUAAAAACGACCUGUGAUGUGUGUGUUUUCUGAGGGUUCAAUAACUCUCCGUUCUGCACACACACUGAUUCCUUCUUCCAUUUGUAGGAGUUCCCAUUUCCAGACCUGACAUGAUCUCCUGGCUGGAGUGAAGGGAGGAGCUGUGGGUCCCCAGUCUCUGGGGAGAGGAGGAAAGAGAGAUACUGAGAGAUGCCCGCAGAGCAGAGGGCGUGACGUGAACUGGAUUAUCUCUGUGUCUCUGGGACGGUGAGUGAGACCGAGGAGAAUCCUCAGCUGGGAGUCCGGAGCAGGAGGAACCACACAGGACAGUUUGGGGAGAUCGUAGGAGACUCAGCCCAAGCCAUGCGGGCACCAGGGAAAAGAGCCAGGGCAGAGACUGAGUGAAUCAGCUCACCAGAGCAGAGGGGUUGGAAAAAUCAAAGAAACUUCCCAGCAGAGAAUCCCCACUGGAGACAGACCCAGUAUGUUUGGUGACUGUGGGAACAGCUUCCCUGGGAGUUCUGCCCAUAUUACUCAGCAGACAGUCCACAUGGGAGAAAAACGCUAUAGAUGUGCUGAGUGUGGGAAAAGCUUCUCUCAGAGUACAACGCUCAUUAACCAUCAGAGACUCCACACAGGAGAGAAGCCCUACAUGUGCCCCACGUGUGGGAUCAGCUUUGUUCAGCUCUCACAAGUUGUUAGACACCAGAGAAUCCACACGGGAGAAAAGCCCUAUACAUGCCUGACCUGUGGGAAAA